rnacentral:rRNA from 1 species
CCCCUAGAUGUUCUGGGCCGCACGCGCGCUACACUGAACAGUUCAACAAGUCUCAACCUUGGCCGAUAGGUCUGGGUAAUCUUUGAACGCUGUUCGUGAUUGGGAUAGACCUUUGCAAUUAUGGGUCUUCAACGAGGAAUUCCUAGUAAACGCAAGUCAUCAGCUUGCAUUGAUUACGUCCCUGCCCUUUGUACACACCGCCCGUCGCACCUACCGAUUGAAUGGUCCGGUGAAAUCUCGGGACGGCGGCUUGGUCGCUUGCGUCCGACUGCUGAAACUUGAUUAAACCAUAUCAUUUAGAGGAAGGUGAAGUCGUAACA